rnacentral:rRNA from 1 species
UCUCCGUUGGUGAACCAGCGGAGGGAUCAUUACCGAGUUUACAACUCCCAAACCCCUGUGAACAUACCUCUUGUUGCUUCGGCGGGAUCGCCCCCGGCGCCUCUGUGCCCGGGACCAGGCGCCCGCCGGAGGCCCCAAACUCUUGUCUUUUAGUGAUAUCCUCUGAGUCUCACAAACAAAUAAAUUAAAACUUUCAACAACGGAUCUCUUGGUUCUGGCAUCGAUGAAGAACGCAGCGAAAUGCGAUAAGUAAUGUGAAUUGCAGAAUUCAGUGAAUCAUCGAAUCUUUGAACGCACAUUGCGCCCGCUAGUACUCUAGCGGGCAUGCCUGUCCGAGCGUCAUUUCAACCCUCGAGCCCCCGGGCUUGGUGUUGGGGAUCGGCCGCCGCUCACCCGGUGGCCGGCCCCGAAUUAUAGUGGCGGUCUCGCUGUAGCCUCCUCUGCGUAGUAGCACACCUCGCACUGGAACGCGGCGCGGCCACGCCGUAAAACCCCAACUUCUGAAGGUUGACCUCGGAUCAGGUAGGAAUA